UCCGGGCCAGCAUCCGAGAGCCCGGACUGGAGAGUCAACUUUUAUAACACUGUUACUGGGAAUACUUGACUUACUAAGCUUUUACUGAACACUUUAAUUUUGGGAGUACAAUUUCUAAACUCACGAAAUAAUCUUCAUGCAACAAGAUGUUAUUUUAUCAAAUUUUGGUAUUACAUGCUCAUUCUUUGACAAAUUUUAAUUAACAGAUUUCUGAGAGAGCAGACACCAUCUUAUUUCUGUUGAAUUGUAUUUAGUAACUCAAAAGGCAUAUACCAAGCUGUCAGAAGCAGCUUCAUUUAAAAGAAAUAAAAUUUCUAGUCCUGCCUGAAGUUUAAGCUAGCCCAUGACUACACAAGUGCAACUGUAUUUCCCAGAAUUAAAGCAG
rnacentral:lncRNA from 1 species